CACUUAAAUCUAAUUCUUUUCCUUUUAUUUCAUCAAAUAUAUUACUGUCAAAUAUUAUCUUUUGUUCCGUUCCUUCAUCAUUUAAAUAUUCUUCCUUUGUUAUUAUUUUUAUAUCUUCUUCAGUCAUUUGAUUCAUCUAUUUCGCUAUCUAUUUCAUUAUCUGUUUCGUUUUCUGAAAUUUCAUAUAUACUAUCUUCACUUUCUAAUUCAUAAUCUAUAUAAUCUAU
rnacentral:lncRNA from 1 species